rnacentral:rRNA from 1 species
GACGAACCGGACAAACGUUAUUCGGAAUUACUGGGCUUAAAGGGUUUGUAGGCGGCCUUGUAAGUCAGGUGUGAAAUCCCCAGGCUCAACCUGGGAACUGCGUCCGAUACUGGCAGGCUUGAAUCCGGGAGAGGGAUGUGGAAUUCCAGGUGUAGCGGUGAAAUGCGUAGAUAUCUGGAGGAACACCGGUGGCGAAGGCGGCAUCCUGGACCGGUAUUGACGCUGAGGCGCGAAAGCUAGGGGAGCAAACGGG